GUGGGGAAUAUUGGACAAUGGGCGAAAGCCUGAUCCAGCCAUGCCGCGUGUGUGAAGAAGGUCUUCGGAUUGUAAAGCACUUUAAGUUGGGAGGAAGGGUAGUAACCUAAUACGUUGCUACUUUGACGUUACCGACAGAAUAAGCACCGGCUAACUUCGUGCCAGCAGCCGCGGUAAUACGAAGGGUGCAAGCGUUAAUCGGAAUUACUGGGCGUAAAGCGCGCGUAGGUGGUUCAGUAAGUUGGAAGUGAAAUCCCCGGGCUCAACCUGGGAACUGCUUUCAAAACUGCUGAGCUAGAGUACGGUAGAGGGUGGUGGAAUUUCCUGUGUAGCGGUGAAAUGCGUAGAUAUAGGAAGGAACACCAGUGGCGAAGGCGACCACCUGGACUGAUACUGACGCUCAUGCACGAAAGCGUGGGGAGCAAACAGGAUUAGAUACCCUAGUAGUCC
rnacentral:rRNA from 1 species